UUCCUGUUAGUCUGAGUCUUCUGAUAAAUAUCUCCUCCACCUCCUCUCCUCAUCCUCUAAACUCUCUCAUCUGUCAGCAGUGAGGUCACCCUUAUAAAAUCCAAGAUCAUUCUCAGCACAAACUGACAACAUGCUGGGGACCCUCUGCUCUCUCAUCACAGCUCUAACAUGUGUGAGUGGAGUGACAGUGGUGACACAGAAGCCUUCAGUUCUGACGGUGAGGAAAGGAGAGACAGCCACCAUGGACUGUAACCUGGGGACUGUUGGUAACUAUCAAGCCUGGUGGUACAGACAGAUCCUAGGAGGAGUUCCUCUCUAUAUGCUGAGUUUUUAUCAUGGCUGGAGUUCACCCAGCUAUGACACUGGGUUCCCUUCUGCAAGACACACUUCCACUCAUCAGUCAUCAUCAGAUUAUCGUUUGAUCAUCAACAACAUAGAAGAAGGAGACUCUGCAGUUUAUUACUGUAAAACAUGGGACACCUCUGUUAAUGAGUACGUAUCACAGUGAUUUAUGCUGUGACAAAAACCUCGACACAAACACUUCUGCUUUUUCACUGAUAGUUCUCAGAGGACUUGGCUUAUAUUUGUUUAGGUAUUCUUUAGUUUCACAUUUUAAUGUAUUUGGGGGUUUUGAACUCUUU